rnacentral:tRNA from 1 species
GCCACCUUAGCUCAGCUGGUAGAGCAAUGCACUCGUAACGCAUAGGUCGCCGGUUCGAUCCCGGCAGGUGGCUCCA